CGAAAACGAAUUCUCUCUUGAGUGGAUCCUGAGUACGACGGAGCACGUGAAAUUCCGUCGGAAUCUGGGAGGACCAUCUCCUAAGGCUAAAUACUCUCUAGUGACCGAUAGUGAACCAGUACCGUGAGGGAAAGGUGAAAAGUACCCCGGAAGGGGAGUGAAAGAGAACUUGAAACCGUGUGCUUACAAGUAGUCAGAGCCCGUUAAUGGGUGAUGGCGUGCCUUUUGUAGAAUGAACCGGCGAGUUACGAUCUGAUGCAAGGUUAAGCAGAAAAUGUGGAGCCGUAGCGAAAGCGAGUCUGAAUAGGGCGAAUGAGUAUUUGGUCGUAGACCCGAAACCAGGUGAUCUACCCUUGGUCAGGUUGAAGUUCAGGUAACACUGAAUGGAGGACCGAACCGACUUACGUUGAAAAGUGAGCGGAUGAACUGAGGGUAGCGGAGAAAUUCCAAUCGAACUUGGAGAUAGCUGGUUCUCUCCGAAAUAGCUUUAGGGCUAGCCUCAAGUGAUGAUUAUUGGAGGUAGAGCACUGUUUGGACGAGGGGCCCCUCUCGGGUUACCGAAUUCAGACAAACUCCGAAUGCCAAAUAAUUUAACUUGGGAGUCAGAAUGUGGGUGAUAAGGUCCAUAUUCGAAAGGGAAACAGCCCAGACCACCAGCUAAGGUCCCAAAAUAUAUGUUAAGUGGAAAAGGAUGUGGCGUUGCCCAGACAACUAGGAUGUUGGCUUAGAAGCAGCCAUCAUUUAAAGAGUGCGUAAUAGCUCACUAGUCGAGUGACACUGCGCCGAAAAUGUACCGGGGCUAAACAUAUUACCGAAGCUGUGGAUUGUCCUUUGGACAAUGGUAGGAGAGCGUUCUAAGGGCGUUGAAGCAUGAUCGCAAGGACAUGUGGAGCGCUUAGAAGUGAGAAUGCCGGUGUGAGUAGCGAAAGACGGGUGAGAAUCCCGUCCACCGAUUGACUAAGGUUUCCAGAGGAAGGCUCGUCCGCUCUGGGUUAGUCGGGUCCUAAGCUGAGGCCGACAGGCGUAGGCGAUGGAUAACAGGUUGAUAUUCCUGUACCACCAUUAUUCGUUUUAAGCGAUGGGGGGACGCAGUAGGAUAGGCGAAGCGUGCUGUUGGAGUGCACGUCCAAGCAGUGAGAUUGAGUGUUAGGCAAAUCCGGCACUCUUAAGAUUGAGCUGUGAUGGGGAGAGGAACUUGUUCCUCGAGUCGUUGAUUUCACACUGCCGAGAAAAGCCUCUAGCUAGAAUAACGGUGCCCGUACCGCAAACCGACACAGGUAGUCAAGAUGAGAAUUCUAAGGUGAGCGAGCGAACUCUCGUUAAGGAACUCGGCAAAAUGACCCCGUAACUUCGGGAGAAGGGGUGCUCUUUGAGGUUCACGCUUCGAAGAGCCGCAGUGAAUAGGCCCAAGCGACUGUUUAUCAAAAACACAGGUCUCUGCUAAACCGUAAGGUGACGUAUAGGGGCUGACGCCUGC
rnacentral:rRNA from 1 species